rnacentral:rRNA from 1 species
CCUACGGGAGGCAGCAGUGAGGAAUAUUGGUCAAUGGACGAGAGUCUGAACCAGCCAAGCAGCGUGAGGGAUGAAUGCCCUGUGGGUUGUAAACCUCUUUUGUAUGGGAAUAAACUAUUCCACGUGUGCCCUUUUGUGUGUACCUUAUGAAUAAGGAUCGGCUAACUCCGUGCCAGCAGCCGCGGUAAUACGGAGGAUCCGAGCGUUAUCCGGAUUUAUUGGGUUUAAAGGGAGCGUAGGUGGAUGGUUAAGUCAGGUGUGAAAGUCCGGGGCUCAACCGGAGAAUUGCAGUUGAAACUGGCAGUCUGGAGUACAGGAGAGGUGGGCGGAAUUCGUGGUGUAGCGGUGAAAUGCUUAGAUAUCACGAAGAACUCCGAUUGCGAAGGCAGUCCACUGGACUGCAACUGACACUGAGGCUCGAAAGCGUGGGUAUCAAACAGGAUUAGAUACCCUUGUAGUC